UUUUAAUAAAUUAUAAAUUAUAAAGUAAUUGGCCUAAAUGGUAAAAUCCAAAAACCCCUAAUUGGUUAAAACGAAUGUUAUUUUUGUAUUUUUUACGUAACGUUUGGAUAAACGUUACACGUUUAAUAUAAAAAUCCUAUCGUAUAUUAACGAUUUUUUCGAUAUUGUCCGUAAAAUAUCCUGUCGGUUUUAAAUAUUUGUAAAAUAACGGUAUUAACGUUUUAUUCUUUUAUUUUGCUUUUUUAUAUUAUUUAAAUAAUAUUAAUUAAUAUUAAUAGGCCUUUUGUAAAUCGAUCGAUUAACAAAACGUUAUUAUUGGGUAAAAGGUAAUAUAGUUUUAUUUAACGAUUAAUUUAUCUACGUUCGAGCUUUUAAUCGUUUUUCUCCUUUUAUACCCGUAAUCGAGGGUCGGAUAAGUUACGUGCGGGUUUAUACGUAAAUCACCGAUUAAAUUAAUAAAUUGAACGCAAUCCCUUCUAUUCCAACAAAAAUAUAAAAUACCCUGAAAAAUUAUGGAGGGGCACAAUUAUUUCGGAAUAUAUAGGAUAAUUUAAAAAAAUACCAUAAACCGAUUUUCCAAGGACGGUAGCCAGGUAAAAAAAAGGAUUAUAUAUAUUAAUAAUCCGUUACAGCACACCGGCAAAUUUAAAAAAUAAAUUUUAAAAUCCAAAUUUAAUAAAAGAAUAUGCCUUUUCAAUUAGCCUUUUGAAUUUCUAAUAUCGUUUAGCUAUUUUAAAAAUGCGGGAAAAAUUAAACACAAUUGUCGCAUUUUUCAAAUAAAAUUUACAAAUUUCAAAACGGUACAAAACCGAAAAAAUAAUUAGGCAAUUAAAACGAAAAAUUCGUGAUUAAACUCCAUAUUGUAAUUUUAAAAACAAUUUACCGUUAAUUUGGAUUUGCAUUAAUAAAAUAAUCAAAUUCUGGGAUGCCCAAAAGAAAUUAGAAUUCCGACGAAAAUAAUUUAAAAUAUAGAAAAAUUGAAAUUAAACCAGGGUUUGCCCAGUUUUGGAUAAACCGAUUCCGGUUGGGGCAAUUUUAACCAAAAGCCCAAAAAUGGGCCGUGGCGAUUCCGCGAUAGGUUAAAAUAAUAAUUACCCUCCAUUUAUUUAAUUAUAAUUAAAAACAAAUUUAGCACCGAAUUUUUACAAUUAAUACAAAUUUUACAGCUGAAAUUUGGUAUUUGAGAUUUCGCGGGCCCAUAUUUUCAAUUCAAUUUCAGGAAUUUGAAUUUUCUUUUCCUAUUUUCGGACCCGAAACAAUAUAAAAUUUUAUUUCUCUAUUAUUUAUAUUAACGCCAAUUAUAAUUGUUUCCAGCUUUAAAAUUUUAAAUAUUAGGUCGGUAAACGUUUUUUACGUUCCAUAUUACGUAUUGUUUUUAAAUUAAAAAUUGGACCAAUUAACAAAUUAACCAUUAAUAUACCAAUACCACCUCCCUGCCCCAAUAUUAUAUUUACGCCGGUAUCCGUUUGGAUACGAUAGCCUUAUACCGUUUAAAUUGCAAUACUUCCAUCGGGACCUCCCAAACCAAUAUUUAAACUUUUACAUUUAUUCCCCGAUUUAAAUAUUUGAACGACGAUUUAAUUGGCCAACGAUACGCAUCCAUCCACACCGAAUUAAUAUAUCCAACGUUUCCUAUAUCGUAAUAUUAACCCCGUAAAACUAAUUUGAACGCGGAAUAACCCAUAUAUUAAUUAAACAAUUUUAAUUUCUGAUAUUUUUUCGAAUGGUCGCGUAAAAUUAAAAAAUUAAAAAGUAUCGGGAAUUAUAAAUAAAAACCUGUGGGCAAUUAUAUUUGUAAACGUAUUUUAAAAAUACCAAAUUUAUUAAUAACCAAGAACGUUCCGCAAUUGUAAUAUAUAUUUACUAACCCUUUUAUUUUUUAUUUUAGUUUUUUGGUAAUUAUUCCUAUAAUUUUGGCCCCGGACCAUUUGUUUUUUUAAAUAAUACCCCAUAAUUUUAAUUCGCCCGCGUACAAAUAAUAUUUAUAAUUUUCGACCAUUAACGAAAAAUAAUGGUCGAUGGUUUUGGAAUUAAUAAUAACCCCUGGUGGUCCUAAUUGCGAACGUUCGAAUACGUUAAACCCGUUCCAAAUUUAACAAUAUAAAAAAAACAAAUAUUUUUAAAAAUCUCGGGUAACGUCUGUUUUUUAUUUAUUAAAUUUAUAAAAUACGUUCGUGUUAAAUGUAAAUCGCUUUAUACGAUUUUUUGUUAGAUUUUAAAAAUAACCAUAUUUUUAACCGGGCCGUUUUUCGAUGCAAUUUAAAAUUGCGUUUCGAAAUCCUGUUUUUAUUUUAGGGAAUUUUUGUA
rnacentral:sRNA from 1 species